rnacentral:tRNA from 1 species
UGGCGGCGAGCGGCGUGGCGUGCGCGCUGCUUUCCGGGCGGCGCUCCGCCGCGGUCGCGGUGCGCGCCGCCGA